UUUACUGUGCUAAUAAGCAGCAGCGCUAACGUGAGUGCGUGUGUGACAGAUUUAUUGUGGCUGCACAGAGAACUAAUAUGGAACAAUGUCACCAGCUCCAGGAUAAUUACACUACAGCGAUGUUGGUGAAACCAGGCAGGACUCAAGACGGUGCUGUCGGUAGGAAUCACAGUGAUGACACACACGCAGACACGCACACACACUGGAACAGCACGGGAGGCUCCGAUAGGCUGGGGAGCAGCGGGAGCGAAGACAGGAGCCGGCCAAUCAGGGCCCUGCAUCUGUGGUCAGCCUACGCCAGCCAGCCAAUGGGGACAGAGCCUGGCUCCGGGGGCGGGGCGUUGGAGGGCUGCCUUCCUUGUUGUGUUUUUGGCCUGGACUGGGAGCCACAUUCCUGCCGUUCCCCUGCUCCAUUCCUGGGCUGGUGGCUGGGUUCAAUAGGUGAAGCAGGGAACUGUGGGAAACGAAGGAGGAGGAGGAGCAGAGCGGAGGAUGAAGGUGCAUGUUUGAGGUCAAGGUCUCCCAGCUCUGAUAGAAGCAUUCAGCUUUUAUUCUGACAUGAAAACCUGGAUUUCAAUUUUGUCCAUCCUUUAAUUUUAACAAAGUUUAGAAAGCAAAAGUUCUGUGGAGAAACGUGUUCUUCACCUGAACCUCAGUCACACAUCGCUCCUAUUUUUAGUGGACUUUAACUUUCACGGGUUCUAAACGGCAGGAAACGACACAAAGACGCAGCGUGAGCGACAGUCGAGGCCUCAGGUACAAAGACCAGCGAGUGCAGUGUCUACGCUCACAAUCCACAGCAGCGGCCCAGCCCUCAGAACCGCUUCAUCGGAUCAGAACAUGUAAAGACAGAGCAGUAAAACCCAGCAUCGCGCAUCAGACGAGCAGCACGAUGGAGGCCAGAGGGUCACGUCACAUCAUUUCAUUCCAAUUAAGAGCAGAGAGCUACAGUUUUAUUCAGGAUUUUGUCAGAGGAAAGAAGAAAGUCUUUGUCGACUGCAGGGUGAAGGACGGGAGGAGGGUGAUGGAGGAGGAAGACGAGGACGUGAGGCACUUCUUGAACAGAUGAGUUUUCAGCCUCUGACACUCACAUGAGAUGAGAGUGACUGUGCUGUUGUGACUGGAGUGGGAAGGUGGUUUGGUUCAGACGAGCAGAUGAGAACUUGGGUCAAAUGAUGAACAAGCUUCAUAAGCUGAUGAUGAGACCUUCAGCUCCUUCACUGCUCCAUCCUACAUUCAUCACAUUUCCUUCAGGACAAAUCCAAGCCCAAUAUAUGUAUUUAUGGUAAACAGCCCAAACCAGGCUGGAGUCCUCACCCCCUUGUUUCAUCUGUCCACCAGCCCCAAACCCCAAAUAUUCAGUGUGCCGUCAAGAUUUAAGACAAAGCAAAGCGUCAAAUCUUCACAUUUGAGAAGCUGGAACUGGAAUGUUUGGCUUAAUUAUCACAAUUGUUCCAGAUUAAUCCGUGUAUUGUUGCAGCUAUAAUUAGUUUAAUCGUUGAUUAGCUGUUAAGUGAUUACCUCAUCUGGACUGGACUGAAAUGUCAGAAAAGAGCUGCCAGAGGCCUGAGCCCACGUCUUCAUCUGCUUCCUUUGUCCAAAAAUGCCCAGUUUACAACUAAAGACGCAAAAGCAGGAGCUUUUCCAGCUCUAACCACUAUUUACAACAAACGUCCACAUAUAUAAUGUAACACAAGCUUGUGUCUCUGCACAAAACUCAAUGGAAAAUCGAAAUAAAGCCAAACCUUAAGGUUCAAAUAAAA